rnacentral:rRNA from 1 species
GAUGAACGCUAGCUACAGGCUUAACACAUGCAAGUCGAGGGACCGGCGCACGGGUGAGUAACACGUAUCCAACCUGCCCUUUACUCGGGGAUAGCCUUUCGAAAGAAAGAUUAAUACCCGAUGUAAAGGGUGGGGAUGCGUUCCAUUAGGUGGUUGGUGAGGUAACGGCUAACCAAGCCUUCGAUGGAGAGGGGUGCGGAGAGGAAGGUCCCCUGCAUUUGAACUGAGACACGGUCCAAACUCCGACGGGAGGCAGCAGUGAGGAAUACUGGUCAAGGGGCGUUAGCCUGAACCAGCCAAGUAGCGUGAAGGAUGAAGGCUUAUGGGUCGUAAACUUCUUUUAUAUAAGAAUAUGUAUUAUAUGAAUAAGGAUCGGCUAACUCCGUGCCAGCAGCCGCGGUAAUUC